rfam:Glossina morsitans morsitans, isolate Yale, WGS project CCAG01000000 data, contig: ctg10011290
AGCUUUGCGCAGUGGCAUUAUCAUAACCAAUGAAGUUUGUCUGAGGUGUGAUUAUUGUUAAUUGAAGACUUUGCCCAAUACACCGCCAAAGGGACGUGAACAUACCGUCCACUAAGGCAAUUUUUGUAAGCCCGAAAGGGC